UAGUAUAUACCUAGACAGAGCGUAUAUCUAAUCUAAAUACAUAACAAAAGCUACAAACCUAGAAAAGCCAAAACGACUUAUAAUGAACGGAGUGAGUAUUCAAUUAAUCCAACUAUGUGGGGUGACAUGCCAUAAUCUGCCCAAGUUUCUUUCCAGAACUGCAGCUCGCAUCCUAUUUGGGUUUUGAUGUACUCAAUCUCC
rnacentral:lncRNA from 1 species